UAGUGAAACCGAAGAAUGGAGGGCUUGUUAAUGCAGUCUGCAUCAACUCUAUGGCUAAUCGCUGCUAGAAUUUUUAUGACUGCUUUGUGGUAAAGAUGGUAUCACUGAGACUUAUUCUAGAUGAAUCAUUCAGAUGAGGAGGUUGUGACAUGUCUAGCUCUGGGCAACAGCUUCUUGGAAAGGCUUUCUUCCAUCGUGUUGAACAGUUUUGACAAGCGCAGACUGAGACAGCAGGCAUCUUGCAAGUGAUACUCAAUAGAAAUCUCCCUGACAUGGAAGAAGCACGUCAGAACUGGGCAGAAUAUGGCAAAAUUUCACUUUUUCAGAUAUAUGUACUGUGAGAGUAGUUCUAAAACAGCAUUCCUGGUGACAUCAAGGCUACAGAGCAACAGAAGUUGUCUCAGUUGCCAACAGGUAUAAAGUGCAUUAGCCUCAGCCAGCAGAGUCCCUGGCACAGGGAUGUGAGCACGAGCUUGGAAAUGUGUACUUCAGGCAGAAGCACAGAGACAGCUUGUCACCCACUGCUGGCUCCUCGUCAUUCUUCUCUGGCAGGAAGCACCCCCUUAAUCAGUGAACUUUUUCCUCUGAAAGGAGCAAAGUGUAUUAAGGUAGGGGUUCCUAAAGUUUUGUUUCUGGAGGGCUAUUUGAUAUCUGGGAAGAUCAUAAUAAAAGUCAGCUGCUGUUCAACACCUGGAGGCUUCCCCGUUCCCUCUCUUCCCUGUUCCAAGCCCCAUGGGGCUGUACAUUAAGCCAGAUAACCAGUCCUUUUAUUCUCCCAUUAUUGAAGCAAAGGCAAUAGUUACCAUGUUGAAUGGACUGGGAAUGCCUAUGGAGCAGACCUUACUGAGGACUCUUUGGGUUAAUGUAAAGGCAUAGAAUGAGCUGGGUCCUGGAAUGGGCAUUCAGUACUCCAGAAUCUCUCAGGAGUGUCACCAUCAGCCAUCCACCCAGACUCAUCCAUGGGGAUUACAGGCUUCCUUUGGGAGUCUCUGCGCAAGAAGGGAUCAACCUUUAGCCCUGUCCUAGCUGAGUGUUUCUGUGCUGUCACUUCCUUAUUUGUUAAAAAAUACACCUCUGUGCUUGUACAACAAAUAAAAAGGGAUGCUGUAAUACCAGGAAACAAAAAACCCACCUGUAAAACAACAGACCAAAUCCAGACUGCUGUUCCAACAUCUGGAUCUGCCUU
rnacentral:lncRNA from 7 species